CAGGAUAGAGAGAGAGAGAGAGAGAGAAAGAUAGAGAGAGUACUCCAGUCUCUGGAAGGAGAAACAUCAACCGGUUUCCAUCUGAUUUAAUCUUAUUUAUUUGGGAAUACACAUCGAUCAAUAAGGAUACUUCCUUGCAGAGGGAACUUUGUGCAGCAUCCUUUCUAGCGGAAACGAGGACUAACUUACUUUUUAUUUCCAAGGAUAUAAUUAUAUGAUCAUCUGCGUUCAUUCACAAGUGGUUUUGUGGCUCCUCGGAUGCGCGAGGCACACGGUGUCCCUUCAGAAGAGAAAAAGCAAAAACAGGACGAGCUGCGGGAGGAAUACAAAUUAUACUUUUGAAAGAAAACGCUCCGAGAGGGAGAAGAAUGAGUAAAAAGUUGCCGGUGAGGAGCCUUAAAAAAGCGAAGAGGAGUCAGUGUGUUCUGUGCCAGGCUGCUGUCAACUUCCUGAAGAUUCAAAGACAUACAGAAAAGUGUGAUCUGCGACUAUAAACGCAGGGAUGACAGUCAACUGGACUUUGAGGAGUGUUUGAAAGACUCCCCCCGCUUCAGAGCUGAAAUUGAAAUGGUCCAAACCGAUGUGAGUGAACUCGAGACACGAUUAGAAAAGCUUGUGAAACAAUGCCAUGCCAUGCUGGAGGCCGGCAGAGUCUACUGCCAGACCAGCAAGAGCUUCGUCAACGGCCUGCGGGAGCUGGGACACCAAUGCUCCGGGGAAAAGACCAUGGAGGAGUGUUUGGACAAAUUUUCCAAAAAGCUGUCUAUCAUCUUGGAGGCCCAGGAGGAAGUGAUUGAAACCACACAGAAGACGGUCAAGACGAAGCUGCAGAACUUUGUGAAAGAGGAUGUCCGUCGGUUUAAGGAUGUACGCAAGGAGUUUGAGCGCGGCAGUGAAUGUCUGGAGGGGGCGCUGGUGAGGAACGCUCAGGCCCUUCGAGGGAAACCUCAUGAAGUGGAGGAGGCCAGCAACGCUCUGCUGAACGCACGCAGGACCUUCAGGUCGGAGGCCCUGGAUUACGUCCUGGAGAUUAACGUCAUUGAAGCCAAGAAGAAGACAGACAUCCUGAUGGCAAUGUUGUCACUGAUGGAGGCCCAGGCUCAGCUCUUCCAACACGGCCACCAGUCUCUCUCAGAAAUGGACGAGUAUAGACGAAAACUCAAUGAAGAGCACACUCAGUUUGUCCUCAACUCAGCCCGGGAGAAGAGGGACAUGGAGCAAAGACACGCAGCAAUCAAGAAGAAGGAUGUGUCCUAUGAUGACUCCAUCAUGGAUUUUAAACCGGACGCACCAAAUGGGAUCGCCAUGGAGGGAUACCUCUAUAAAAGAGCCAGCAACGCCUUCAAGACCUGGAGCAGGCGUUGGUUUUCUAUUCAGAAAAAUCAGCUGGUGUAUCAGAAAAAAUUCAAGGAACAACCUACAGUUGUGGUGGAGGACUUGCGUCUCUGCACGGUCAAGCCUAGUGCAGACAACGAGAGGCGGUUUCUGUUUGAAGUGGUCUCCCCGUCAAAGAGUUGUAUGUUGCAGGCAGACUCAGAAAGGCAGCAGCAGGCGUGGAUCAGUGCCGUUCAAAACAGCAUCGCAUCGGCCUUUCAGGAGCACAGAGAGGACACACAUAGCCCAAGACAGCGCUGCAGCUCAGUGUCAGCCAGCAGCUUGAUAGGAGGGGGGAGCGGCGGGGGGGAACAGGAGAGUAAGGUCUGCAAGGCGCUGGAGGAGGUCCAGGCGAUCGUGGGGAACAAGCAGUGCUGCGACUGCGGAGAGCCCGGUCCUGAUUGGGCCUCCAUCAACCUGGGCAUCACGCUCUGUAUCGUCUGCUCAGGAAUACACAGGAGCCUGGGAGUCCAUUUUUCCAAAGUACGCUCCCUCACACUGGACUCCUGGGAGCCGGAGCUUAUUAAGCUGAUGUGUGAAUUAGGAAACUUGGUAAUCAACAGGAUCUACGAGGCCCGCAUUGAUGAGAUCACCAUCAAGAAGCCCCACCCCACCAGUCCCAGAGGAGACAAGGAGUCAUGGAUCCGGUCAAAGUACGUUGAUAAGAAGUUCAUCCAAAAGCUGCCCGAGACCGGCAGGCCGGCCCUGCAGAGGAGGAACCGAGCGCUCACUCAGGAGAGGAACACACAGCGUCCGCCGCUCAAACCCAAGCCGAACCGAGCCACGCUGCCUCGUCUCCCAGGACUGAGCCCCAGCCCCACUGACCUUGUCCAGAAGAACAAUACACACAAAGAAGUGGAGGAGGAAGAGGAGGAGGACCUGAGCGGGCUGCACCCCGGGGCGCUGCUGUAUCGAUCAGCAGCCCUGCAGAACUUCCCGGUCAUGGCCGACGCUCUGGCCCACGGAGCCAACGUCAACUGGGUCAACGUGACCGAGGAGUCCAGCACGCCUCUGAUCCAGGCCGUCUCUGCGAAUGCCCUGGCAGCCUGCGAGUUCCUGCUGCAGAACGGAGCGAACGUUAACCAGGCAGACAGCAACGGGAGAGGACCGCUGCACCACGCCACCAUCCUGGGUCACACUGGGUUGGUUUGUCUCUUCUUGAAGCGAGGAGCAGACUACAACGCCACAGACAAGACACAGAAAGACCCCAUAUCCAUCGCCGUGGACACCGCCAACGCUGACAUUGUCACUCUGCUGCGGAUCGCCAAAAUGAACAAGGAGAUGCGGGAGAUGGACGGAGCGUUUGGCCAAUCAGGUCACUCGGGGGGGCAUGGGUCUGGGGGUUCAAUUGGAGGGACAGGAGGUGGGCGGGCUCACACCAGAAAGAGCCUACAGGCGAUAAAGAACCAUAUAAGUGGCUGGGCUCUGGGGGGGCAUAAUGAUUAGAGGGGAUACCAAGAGACAGGCAGUGGGACUGAUCAGCUGUUUCUGAUUGUAAGCUAAACGUUAUUAAACAUCACAAUCACUGGUUUUGCAGUGUCAUGUGGUUUAAGACAUAUCAUUUAAGGACAGAUAAAAAUGUAAUUGCCUUCAUUUAGAAAGCAUAAAAUCAGGAUCUUGUAAACCACGAGAACCAGAGCACAGGGUACGACAGCGUAAAGGAAGCAAUAACAGAUUUAAUAUAUCGGUAAAUACAGGAGAAUGUCUGGUGAAACAGAAAGGGAGAGUGAUGGAAGUCCACAUGCACUUUUAAUUACAAACGCACAACAUCCUGCACUUUGAAAACCCUUCACAACACCUGUAUAGACCUCUGUCAGGCCUAUUUGAUCUGAUACUGUGUAUUUUAGAUAUCUUUUAAAUACAAUAUGUACAGUGUUCUGUUUUUAUUGUGUAUAUUUAAAUUGGGCUCUUCAGUCCAGUUGUGUAAGCUACAUUUAUUUUUGGGUUUCUCAAGGACGGUUUUAUCCUGCUAUUCUGUGAAUAGCGACGCAGUGUGUUAUGUAUAAGAGUCGCAGCUCCGACUGCAAGCUUAAGGUUAACAGCGGGUUUGUUUGCAUUUUGUCAUGUGGCUCCUUCUCAAGCUGCAAAGUCCAUUCUUUCAUGUCCUUUAAGUGGCUUUUUGUGUCUCGUGUAAGCUGUAAUCUAUCCACUCGUGAAGGAAUGGAAAUGUGAUGCUUUUUUUUUUUUCGUGUGCUUGAAAACAAACUGCUGGUCAGUAUUUUACGUGCUUUAUCAAUGUGUGUCUUUGUUGUGUGCACUCUUCUGCCCGCUGAGAUGCCCAGCUGCUCUCAACUGCUUGUGCAGUGUGCCACCUACUGCAAACUAAGAGGUGAUGAAACCUACCAGGAUAUAUUCAGGGACUUUUCUCACAUGGCCUCGAACAACCCAGAGAAGCUCAAACGCCGCAGUGCCGAUCCCAAAUCGUACCCUGCCUGAACCACAUUUCACACGAUCGUGCUUUCCAUCACACAGAAAACAUGUAUCAUAGUAACUUCACGGCAUGCAGACACACAUUUCUCCUGGCCGCCCGCCACAUGUUUAGUCAUAGCUCAGCUGGUGUUGAUUUCAGAGGGGAUGAACGCUCCGAACAGGGAAUUCUUUGUGUGACACGUCAGAGCAGAACAAUGUGGGAACACUGGAGCAGCUUAAUGAGAGCAGCAUGAGGUGUCUUUAUGUGAAGCAGAGGGAAACGUCAUCACUCUGCCAAGGUUUCUUAAUUAAAUCUGGUAAAUCUUUUAUUUUCUUUAACUAAAAGGGCUUUUUUUAUGAUCCUCUGCCAUUUCUAUACAGUUGUUACGUGAAAAAGUGAAAAUGUGUUGCAAAUUGUACAAUUGUCAUGUCAACUGUCGUCCAGGGAGUUGUAAUGUAUACAGCUUUUUACAUUUGGGAUUUUUUUUUGGCACCUUUGCUUGAGGUACUUGAGUUUUUGUACAAUGAUCAAAUAAACUGCAAUACAAACAUUA